rnacentral:lncRNA from 1 species
CCUUUAUUUUGAUUUCAUUCUUUAAGUUCAGCAAAAAUCCCCUAUUAUAUUCAUAUUCUACAAAAAUUAUAAUUCUCUUGCCUCUUUAUUUUCAUCUAUUACAUGCCCAUACAAGGCAACAAUUCGUAAGCAGGAAAUAAAAGAAAACAAUUGGAACGUGACUCUUGGUUUUCUUUCAGCAUUUAUUUGAUAAGGUAGGAUACCAUGUGCAAGUGAUUCAUCCUUGCAAUAUUAUAAUUUUUUUUAUGUGAUUUAUUUCAUGAAAUGCUAAUUGACCUGCGGGUCCCUAUGAAAUGAAAUGUGAGAUCGCCUUCGGGUCUUCUCAAAUGUACUAGAGCUUUCGAUUGAUCACCGAUUGCUUUUGAUGAAAUGAUGGUAUGGAAUGUUAUAGAUUCAUGUUUUAAAAGUUAUUAUAUUGUUUGGACGCACGUAUCCUACUGAGUAAUACUCAUUCCUUCAAUUUUAACAUUCCAGGUCAGAUUGGUCAACGUGGAUGGUGGCUGAGUGGUGCGCAGGUUGCCAAGUAAAAGAAAUUUUUUUUAGGAAUCCAUAAUAAAUUUGUUAAGACAUUUUAUGUUUCUCUUUAAUUCCAUUUAUGACACUAUGUUUAUUUGAUUCAGUGUUUGAGUUUCAAUAAAUUAAGAUUUUUAAGUUUUAAAUUUUAUUUCCACUUGAUGUAUGAUUAUGGAA